GCGACAGUGGCGGAAUGGUAGACGCGCACGUUUAAGGGGCGUGUUCGAGAGAGUAAGGGUUCAAGUCCCUUCUGUCGCACCA
rnacentral:tRNA from 1 species